rnacentral:lncRNA from 10 species
GUUGAAUAUUUUCAUAUUUCUAUAAAUAUUGUGCUUUGUUCUGGCGUGGGAUUACCUGCAAAUGGUUUGAGCAUUUCAGGUCUUGGCUUUAAUUGGGAUUUUCCAAUUGAGACUAAAGUAGCCUUUAGUCCUUGACUAUUUUUUUUUUUCAAAUUAUCAAGGCAAAUCCUUCUCUGUGCUCUAUUUAAUUCUCCAUGAAUUAAGAGUUUCCCAGUCUGUCUGGUAGUUUUGACUGACCAUAUUUGAGCUUUGCACAUUCUUUCACCAACCAUGGCAUGUCAUUCCUUUCCUUGCCAUAUGCAGUUUCCUCACAUGCAUAACCUGAUCAGCACACUGCUAAAGAUGUAAUGCAGAAGGGACCCCGUAUAAAUCUCUAGAACUCUCGGUGCAAUUUAAUUUCUUUUGAACUUUGCAGUAACAAUUGAAGUUGCUUUGGUCUCUUCAGGCUUUGAGUUUGGUCUUCUCAACCUAAGGAGUUUGCCAGAAUUCAGCUAGAUUCUUCCUCUCUACUUUGCGGAUUGGAAAUUUAUUCAAAAAAUAAGCUGAGACAAUCAUAAAGCACAGCUUUUGAUUUCUUUUCUCCCAUGGAUCACUGUUUUUUUGCUCCCUAACAUACAAACCAUUAUCCCACACAACUUUUGUUUCUUCUUGUUGUUUUAGGCAAGAAAGUAAAUCCAGUUUCUGGUAAUCCCCUUUUCCCAGAAGGAGAAGUUGUACUUUUACUGCUUUUAUGCUUUAUAUGAUAGUAUAUUGACUGUUAAAUUACUAUGUUUAGAGAUACUGCUAUCUCCUUACUAUUUACCACUUGAACCAUUGAAGACAACUCUUAGAAAAAGCUGGAGAAAUAUAUCUAGUCUGGAGAAUUUGGUUAUCACUUCUUCAAGAGAAUCUUGCCUGACCUGCCUUUAAAUCUCACACCAGUUUAUCAAGGAUUCCUCCUUCAUGUGCUUCCAUAUCCUCUUGGACAUGCAUUAGUCAUAAAACUCAAUGCAUUAUAUUGUGGCCACUUGUUCAUACAUAUGUCUCUCCUACUAGAGUACAGACUCCUUGAGAUCAAGGACUGUUAUGCCUUUCUAAUAUAUGCCUACUGAAGUAUUCCCUCUUUCAAUGCAUAGCUUGAAAAUUUUCAGAUUAUUGUUUUCAGUUAAGGUACAGUCAUUCAAGGAAUACAUAUUUUGAAAAUAAUAUGUACACUGGAUUUAAAUAAAUGUAUGUGUAUGUGUGUGCAUACUGUGUGUGGGUGAGAGUAUAAUCAUGAACCUCAAAAAUGUAGCAAAAAUGUUCUCAGGGUAAUCUCACUUGACCCAUGCAAAACCACAAUUUAAGUUGUAUAAAAAAAUACAAAUAUGUAGAAAAUCUUAUAACACAGGACAGAAGAUAAAGAUGUAUUCAUGAUCACAGAAAUGUAAAGAAGGUUAUUCACACUAUGGUGCAAAAUUGGC